rnacentral:misc_RNA from 1 species
GGUCACUAAUUGACCAUUAAAACUUCCAUUUACUAUCAAUAUGGCCAAACCCUAAUAUAGCGCAAAAUACUAAUUUCUUAUAGCUCAAAACCCUAAUUUAUAAUACCUCAAUUCAUGCAUAAGACCUUAUAAUUCAUCUUCUACCAUAUACAACUCAUCAAGAACAUUAGUAAUCAAAUUUAAUUCCAUCAAAAUCAUAAUUUCCCCAAAGUUCCACAUGGCUGCAGAAAUUUAUGGCUUUCAAUUCCUCAACAUAUUCUUUCAAUUCUUUAAAUUUCUAACUCAUUUCAUUCUCCUAACAUCAAUUUUAAAGAGAAAAGAAAGAGAUAUGGAACUAACCUUGUGAGCAGAACUUUCCCUUAGCUAAUUUUAAUUUUUCCUUCACUUUCUUGGCAACCAAUCACCUUAGCAAGACUCUAGUACAAUUUUUAGUGUUGUGACUUAGGGUUUUUAUAAUGAAAACCUAAGGAAAAUUGAGCUAAAGAAAAGAAAAAUGGUAGAUGGGAGAAAGGGAGUCUCGGCAAGAAGAAAGAAAGAAAGAAAGA